GCCCCCGUGGCGAAAUUGGUAGACGCAUUCGACUCAAAAUCGAACGCCGCAAGGCAUGCUGGUUCGAGUCCGGCCGGGGGCACCA
rnacentral:tRNA from 1 species